rnacentral:lncRNA from 1 species
UGUCCAUGUCUCCUGUCCAUGUCCCACGUCCGUGUCCCAUGUCCAUGUCCCAUGUCCCAUCUCGGGUCCCAUGUCCCACGUCCAUGUCCCAUGUCCAUGUCCCAUGUCCCAUCUUGGGUCCCGUGUCCCACAUCCAUGUCCCAUGUCCAUGUCCUGUGUCCCAUCUCCAUGUCUAUGUCCAAUGUCACAUGUCCACGUCCCGUGUC